UGAGGAACAUGACCUUCGGCGGGGGAUAGCCGGCCCAACGGCCGGGUAAUACCGCGUACGACCACAUGGGGACAUCCCUGAGUGGUGAAAGCAGCAAUGCGCCGAUGGAGUGCCUCGCGGCCUAUCAGCUAGUUGGUGAGGUAACGGCUCACCAAGGCGACGAUGCGUAGCCGACCUGAGAGGGUNAUCGGCCACAUUGGAACUGAGACACGGUCCAGACCUGUACCGGGGAGG
rnacentral:rRNA from 1 species